rnacentral:rRNA from 1 species
GCCUGUGAAACGAAUCUAAGUUCCCUCUUAAUUUUCCCUCCCGGACGAUCUUAGCCACCAUGUGACAAAUCAAGAGUAAUUUAAAGGAGGUACAGCUCCUUUAAAAAAGAAUACAAUCUUCCCUAGCGGAUAACUACCCAACACCCCAGACUGUAGGCCCUCAAGCAGCCACCAACAGAGAGUGCGUCAAAGCUCCACCCCCAAAAAUCCAAAAACAACAGGACUCCCUUAUCUAUAACAGGCCAACCUAUGACAAUAGGAGGAUCAAUGCUAAAAUGAGUAAUCGGGGGUCACCCUCCAAAGCGCAAGCUUACAUUCCUCACAUUAUUAACAGACCCUAAACUAAUACCCCUAACCCAACAAGCCAAGUAUUAAAUUCUCUGUUAACCCAACCCAGGAGCGCCCAUUAGAAAGAUUCAAAUCUGCAAAAGGAACUAGGCAAUCCCAAGGCCCGACUGUUUACCAAAAACAUAGCCUUCAGCCAACCAAGUAUUGAAGGUGAUGCCUGCCCAGUGACACCCAGUUUAACGGCCGCGGUAUCCUAACCGUGCGAAGGUAGCGCAAUCAAUUGUCCCAUAAAUCGAGACUUGUAUUAAUGGCUAAACGAGGUCUUAACUGUCUCUUGCAGACAAUCAAUGAAAUUGAUCUUCCUGUGCAAAAGCAGGAAUAAACCCAUAAGACGAGAAGACCCUGUGGAACUUAAAAAUCAGCGACCACUACWCGCAACCCGAAACCUACUAGGCCCACGACCCCAUAAAACACUGGUCCGCAUUUUUCGGUUGGGGCGACCUUGGAGAAAAACAAAUCCUCCAAAAACAAGAUCAAUAAAUCUUGACCAAGAACAACCCCUCAACGUGCUAACAGCAACCAGACCCAAUAUAAUUGAUCAAUGGACCAAGCUACCCCAGGGAUAACAGCGCAAUCCCCUCCGAGAGCCCGUAUCGACAAGGGGGUUUACGACCUCGAUGUUGGAUCAGGACAUCCUAAUGGUGCAGCCGCUAUUAAGGGUUCGUUUGUUCAACGAUUAACAGUCCUACGUGAUCUGAGUUCAGACCGGAGCAAU